GAUUUUAGUUUGUAUGAUUUGUAAACAGAUUUCGUUUUAAAGUAAUGCAAAGUGAUGCUCGCAUUUAGGCAUCUAGCUAACACGCGGGCUCUUGGUCAAAUGUUCUGGUAUCAUAUAGGGAUAGGGAACUGAUAGGGGGAGCACAGGCCCGAGCUACUCAUUGCCCUUAGUUGGUACGAAAGUAAGUAAUUUAACUGCUAUAUCGGGCAAGGACCUGAAGGUGGUCAAUGAAGUGAAAAGGAACUGAGUGCAAUCGCUCUCGCAAGAGAAAAGCAGACAAUAGUAAAAAGUGCGAUCAGUAAGUUUCAUGCAACGAUACAGUUGCAAUUUGAUUUUCAUAGGGCCUUAUACAACCUCGGCACUGUUUGUAUGGGUUAGCAGGAGACACAUCAAGAACUGGAGGGACAAUGGGAGGACAUGAUGUUUUCCUGGAUAAAUUAUAUAGUCAGGCAACCAGCUACAUUGCUGUUGCUCAUGCAUUAAAGCCAAGUUACUCUGUGUGUAUCUUCUAUGCAUCAAGAUCAGGGAAGAUAAAAAAGAAUACACAGAUGAUAUUUUGGAUGAAAUUUGUGAAGAAUGGGCAAAUUAUGUGGCAAACUUCAUUUACCGGUCUUGAAUUCUAUAUAAUUUAGCAGUUGUAAACUUUUAUGGUUAUAUUUAGAAUUUUAAAAUAACUUGUAGUUGUAUGAAACGCAUUGUUUUGAUAUAUAUGA